ensembl:snRNA U6 U6 spliceosomal RNA
AGUGCUAGGAUUACAGGCGUGAGCCACCAUACCCAGCCCAUUACAGCAUUAUAUACUAAAAUUGGAAUAGUACGAGAAUAUAAGUAUGGUCUCUGCCUAGCAUGUCAUGAAAACUCAUGAAGUAUUGCUUAUUUUU